GCCUAUUACAUGCUAGUCGAGCGAACAGAAAAGGAGCUUGCUCCUUUGACGUUAGCGGCGGACGGGUGAGUAACACGUGGGCAACCUACCCUAUAGUUUGGGAUAACUCCGGGAAACCGGGGCUAAUACCGAAUAAUCUCUUUUGCUUCAUGGUAAAAGACUGAAAGACGGUUUCGGCUGUCGCUAUAGGAUGGCCGCGGCGCAUUAGCUAGUUGGUGAGGUAACGGCUCACCAAGGCGACGAUUCGUAGCCGACCUGAGAGGGUGAUCGGCCACACUGGGACUGAGACACGGCCCAGACUCCUACGGGAGGCAGCAGUAGGGAAUCUUCCACAAUGGGCGAAAGCCUGAUGGAGCACCGCCGCGUGGAGUGAAGAAGGUUUUCGGAUCGUAAAACUCUGUUGUAAGGGAAGAACAAGUACAGUAACUGGCUGUACCUUGACGGUACCUUAUUAGAAAGCCACGGCUAACUACGUGCCAGCAGCCGCGGUAAUACGUAGUGGCAAGCGUGUCCGGAAUUAUUGGGCGUAAAGCGCGCGCAGGCGGUCCUUUAAGUCUGAUGUGAAAGCCCACGGCUCAACCGUGAGGGUCAUUGGAAACUGGGGGAACUUGAGUGCAAGAGGAAGUUGCACUCCAAGUGUAGCGUGAAUGCGUAAGAUUGAGGAACCCCGUGGCAAGGUAUUUCCGCUGUACGGACCUGAGCCAUACCGGAAAAACGUAUCCCGGGGUUUCCCG
rnacentral:rRNA from 1 species